GUCAGCGGUUGAAAUUUUGCAGCUUACAUGUAAAAGUGCCCGUGGUUACUGCGACGCCUACGAUUUGGGUUGCUGUGGGUGGGAAUGUGUGGUGUAGCGGGUGAUAUGGUUUAGAGAUCACACAGAAUAUCGAUUGCGAAGGGCAGCUCACCACAAGCCAAGAUUGACGCUGAGGCACGAAAAGUGUGGGGAUCAAACAGGAUUAGAUAUCCCUGGUAGUCCACACUGUAAACGAUGAUAACUCGCUGUCGGCGAUAUACAGUCGGUGGCCAAGCGAAAGCGAUAAGUUAUCCACCUGGGGAGUACGACCGCAAGGUUGAAACUCAAAGGAAUUGACGGGGGCCCGCACAAGCGGAGGAACAUGUGGUUUAAUUCGAUGAUACGCGAGGAACCUUACCCGGGCUCGAACGGUGCAGGAAUAUGGUAGAGAUAUCAUAGCUAGCAAUAGUCUGUAUCGAGGUGCUGCAUGGUUGUCGUCAGCUCGUGCCGUGAGGUGUCGGCUUAAGUGCCAUAGCGAGCGCAACCCUUGUCAUUA
rnacentral:rRNA from 1 species